AACGAACGCUGGCGGCAGGCCUAACACAUGCAAGUCGAACGCCGUAGCAAUACGGAGUGGCAGACGGGUGAGUAACACGUGGGAACGUACCCUUCGGUUCGGAAUAACUCAGGGAAACUUGAGCUAAUACCGGAGUACGUCCGGAGAGGAGAAAGAUUUAUCGCCGAGGGAUCGGCCCGCGUCUGAUUAGCUUGUUGGUGAGGUAACGGCUCACC
rnacentral:rRNA from 1 species